rnacentral:rRNA from 1 species
GAUGAACGCUGGCGGCGUGCCUAAUACAUGCAAGUCGAGCGAACAGACGAGGUGCUUUCUCCUUUGACGUUAGCGGCGGACGGGUGAGUAACACGUAGUUAACCUACCUAUAAGACUGGGAUAACUUCGGGAAACCGGAGCUAAUGCCGGAUAAUAUUUCGAACCGCAUGGUUCGAUAGUGAAAGUAGGCUUUGCUAUGACUUAUAGAUUGCCCAGGCUCGUAUUCGUUAGUUGUUAGGGAAGCUGCUUACCCAGGCAACGAUACGUAGCCGACCUGAAAGGGUCAUCGGCUACACUGGAACUGAGACUCGGCACACACUCCUACGGUGGGACGCAGUAGGGAAUCUUACGCAAUGGGGGAAAGCCUGAUGGAGCAAAGUCGCGUGAGUGAUGAAGGACUUCGGCUCGGAAAACUAUGUUAUUAGGGAAGUACAAACGUGUAAGUACCCGUGAACGUCUUGACGGUACCGAAUCAGAAAGCCACGGCUAACUACGUG